rnacentral:tRNA from 1 species
GGCUGGGUAGCUCAGUGGUAGAGCGAGGCCCUCAUAAAGCUUAGGCGUGGGUUCGAUUCCCUCCCCAGCCA